rnacentral:rRNA from 1 species
AGUACGGCCGCAAGUUGAAACUCAAAGGAAUUGACGGGGCCCGCACAAGCGGUGGAGCAUGUGGUUUAAUUCGACGCUACGCGAAGAACCUUACCUGGCUUGACAUGUUAGUAGUAAGAGCCCGAAAGGGUAAUGCCCCAGGGGUAACCUGGAGCUACACAGGUGCUGCAUGGCUGUCGUCAGCUCGUGCCGUGGGGUGUUGGGUUAAGUCCCGCACGAGCGCAACCCUUAUCCUCUGUUGGUUGGAAACAACCUCUCUGAGGAAACUGCCAGCGCAAGCUGGAGGAAGGUGGGGAUGACGUCAAGUCCUCAUGGCCCUUAUGUCCAGGGCGACCACGUGCUACAAUGGCCGCUACAGUGGGUUGCAAUACCGCGAGGUGGAGCCAAUCCCUAAAGCGGUCUCAGUUGGGAUCGGAGUCUGCAACUCGACUCCGUGAACGCGGAAUCGCUAGAAUCGUGGAUCAGCCAUGCCACGGUGAAUACGUUCCCGGGCCUUGUACACACCGCCCGUACACCACGAAAGCCUGUUGUACCCGAAACUGGUGAGCUAACCUGAAAGGGAGGCAGCCACUAAGGUAUGGCCGGUGAUUGGGGUG